rnacentral:rRNA from 1 species
UACGUAGGUGGCAAGCGUUGUCCGGAUUUACUGGGCGUAAAGAGCGCGCAGGCGGUCAGAUAAGUCGAAUGUGAAAGCCCCCGGCUCAACUGGGGAGGGUCAUUCGAUACUGUUCGACUCGAAGGCAGGAGAGGGAAGUGGAAUUCCCGGUGUAGUGGUGAAAUGCGUAGAUAUGACAUAGAACACCAAUUGCGAAGGCAGCUUACUACACAGUUAUUGACGCUGAGGCACGAAAGCGUGGGGAUCAAACAGG